UGGCAAACUUAUUCUGGCUAAUCUACUGUGACACUGAUGACAUCAUCCUGAUGGACCUUGAGAACAGGAAGUAGGAGAUGCCCCAGAUGACUUGGGUCACUUGAAAGCUGUCAGCUUUACGGGGGACCGUAUGAGGAGGGAAGGUUUUCUUACUGGAUCAGGUUGCAGAGUAAGUACUUCUACCUCUGGUCUUUAUAUUUAGGCAUUGGAUUUUGGAACAAACUUAUGCCCUCCUUCAGCAAAUAGUUAUUCUCCUUUUGAGAUGCUCCUGGCUUGCUCCAGGGGUCUGGUGAAAUUGGUUGCCUGACCAUGGCAUACCAAGGUUAUCAUGUGACCUGAGCUACCAUGUUAUCUGAUCUACCCAGCCAUGAAAUCAGGGGUGAUCAGCAGCACUCCAUUGUCAAGAGGAGUGACAUAUAUGGCUUGGGUCCAAGCAAGCCCUAAAGGCACAAGUACAGUAGGUUACCUAGCAAGUUGUUUACAUUCCUCUCCUGCUGAUAUUCAUGGUCUCAUGGAGAAUUGUUUAUGAUGAGUUGCCUGAGGAAGAAAAAUCUAAAGCCCAGUUUAUAGAUGGCUCUGCACAGUAUGUUGACUUCAGCCAGAAGUGGUUGCUGGGGUGUUCCCAUCUUCCUCCAAGAGGACCUAACGGACCUAGAAAAGAGAUGUGUGCUCAGAAGGCCUGAAGUACAGACACACUGAUUCCUGGGCAUUGGAUAAUGGUUUAGUCUGUCGGUCAGAGAUUUGGAAGGAAACAGGCAGAAGGUUAAGGACAGGAAAUUUUGAGGAAGGUAAAAUUGCAUAAACUGCUCAGGAUGGCUUCAGAGCAUAAAGUGAUUUGUGUCUCAGGUGGACAUUCACCAAAAGGUCCUCACUAUGGAAGAACCUCUUCUACCUGGUGGGCAGAAUGACACUGUAACUAUCAAGGCAGUCCCCUUCCACAGCCACUUUUGGACUUUCUCAUCAGGUUUAUGACAAAAAUGGCCCACAACACAGACUCCUCCCUCCCAUAGAUGGCCUCGCCACCGUCACUGCUGAGUCCAGUUUGUCAGCCUCAGGAAACAGCCUAAGCCCUGGGGUAGAACCUGACUUUGAGAAGACUGGCCAGCUGUCUUCUGGCAGAGGUUGCAUUGGACUACGUAUCUGUUAGGGUUGGCCAACUGCUGUAACAAACAAUCCCAACAUGUAAGGGGUUUAAUACUACAAUAGCUUAGUUCUUGUUCAUGUCACAGUCCCAUGCCAGGCAAAGGGGAUUUGCUGCAUGCAGUCAUUCAGGGAUCCAGUCCCCUCCUAUCUUGUAACUGUUCUUUCAUCUGUAUUCUCUCCAGUCUAGAGGAUGGGGAAGAAGAUAGAGUGAGGAUUGCGUGGGAUGUUUUAUGAAAAAUACACAGAAAUGACUAUACGUCAUUUUCACUCACAUUCUGUUGGUGCGAUGUCAGCCACGUGGCUCCAACGGACUGUAAUCCAUCCCUCCCACUCCAUCCCCUCUCCCCAGGCAACCACUGAUCUACUUUCUGUCUCUGUGAAAUUUUGCAUUUCAUACAGUAUGAACUGUUUUGCGUGAGUUCUCUCCCUUAGCAUAAUUGUUUUGUGAUUUGUCCGUGUUGUAGUGUGGACCCACACCCAUUAUUUCUUACUGCUGAGUAGUAGUCCAUCGUGUGCACGUUCCACAGUUUGCUUACCCAUUCCACACUGAUGAGCCGUCAGGACAAACAGUUCUCAUACAUUCAAUUAGCUUAUUAUGCUGCUCUGAGAACUGGAAGAAAAGAUUUUUAAAUCAAGUAUACAAUAUACUGAAAUUGUAUUUUUUGCAACUGUUUAUUUAUAUAUAUAUAUUUCACGUGCUAACUUAAAGAUGUAUGAAGGCAGGGCCAGCUUCCUGGAUGCACAGCGUAUGCAGCCGCUCAGGGCGCCGCAUUCAGAAGCUCUCUGAGCCUGCCUUAAUGCCUUGCCUUUGUCUUCUUGAAAUCCUUUCUUUGCAUUUUAUUAAGAUUUUAAUUUUAAUUCCAGUAUAGAUAACAUACGGUUAUAUUUGUUUGGUGUACAAUAUAGUGACUCAACGAUUCUGUACGUUACUCAGUGCUCAUCAUGAUCAUUGUGGUCUUUAAUCCCUUUGACAUUCUUACUCAGGUUUGAGCAAGAAGCCCACGUUUUCAUUUUGCACGGGGUGCUACAACUUAUUUAGCUGGUCCUGUGGAAGAUGGUGUGUAGUUUUCCAAACUACUUUUAUGGGGGCGUACAGUCAAAAGUAUGAAGGCCACUGGCCUCAUCACUCAGGCCUGUAAGGGCUUGGGUGUGGAACACAAAAUCCAGGUGGUUUGCCAGCAGUACUCUGUGACUUAGUUCCCCUCCCACCCAAUGUGGUGGGUGCAGAACUAACUAGUUGCUUGAGUGGAGAGGAGGGCAGGGGAAAUUCUAAGGGCGGUGCAAACUAGAUUACCAUCUUGGCAUUGUUUCCCAUCCACACAGGUGAUGUUGGGCCUUCUGUAGAUGUGGGCUUGAGCCAGCCGCAGUGCAGUUACUGAGUCCCAUCCAGCUCACCACCCUCAUUCUGGCUGACUUCCGGGAAGAAGUAGUUCCACCAGAGGAAAGGAGAUCAGGGCCCCUUCCUCCCCUUGAGUCUUGGAGUUGGGCCUCAAACUAACUAAGGACUUUAAAUUUUUUUUUUAUUUUAAAGAUUAUUUAUUUAUUUGAGAGAGAGAGAGAGAGUGAGUGAGAGCACAAGCUGGGGUCGGUGGGAGAGGCAGAGGGAGAGGGAGAAGCGGAUUCCCCGCUGAGCAGGAAGCCUGACAAUGGGCUACAUCCCAGGACACUGGGAUCAUGACCUGAGCUGAAGGCAAACCCUUAACCGACUGAGCCACCUAGGUGCCCCCUAACUAAGGACUUUCUUAGCACUUUUUGAGGGAGGUAAUAACCCUUUUCAGGGAGGUUCUCCUUCCUUCUCCCUCAAUCCUUCUCCCUCUAAACUUGGGAAUGGGCAGGAGAGCCUGGGACUGACUCUCCCCACUUCUUGUGAGAGAGGGAGGGGGGUUUAGAGGCGAAGGAAUAAAGUUGGAGAGGAUAAGAGAUCGGGUCCACUGUGAAAGGUCUUGAAUCCCAGGUUGAGAUUUGGACCGUCCAUGAGGGUCAUGGAGCC